CUAAAUUGUCAAAGGAACGCAUGAAGGUAUUACAUGACAAGCACAUCCAAAAAAAGAAUUUUGAGCCCAAUGAGCAAGUCUUACUUUACAAUUCCUGCCUCCAUCUAUUUCCAGGCAAAUUCAGAUCGAGGUGGAGUGGGCCUUAUGUAGUUAAGGCUGUGUUUCCAUAUGGAGCUGUUGAGAUUACUAAUCCUCAAAAUGGAAACACUUUCAAAGUUAAUGGCCAACGACUUAAACAUUUUUUGACAAAACUUUCACAUGAGGAUACUUCCAUUCCUUUGGAAGAUCCCAAUUAUUCUCAUGGUCCUUAGCUCAUUUUUUUUUGUUUUGAUUUUUUUUUUCUCUUCUUUUCCUUUUAUUUUUCUGCUUUUAUUUGUUUCAGUUCUAUGUUUUUUUUUCUUUCUUUCUUUUUCUUUUUCUUUUUCUUUAGUAUAUCUUUUCAGGUUCAGCACUGUUUAUUCUUUUAUGAUUUCAUUUUUACGUUCACAAUCCUUUCAGCCAUCUCAGGUAUUUUCCUUCGACCCUAUUUUCUUUCAUCCCUUGUUUUAUUCAUGAUUUGCAUUGAGGACACUGCCCAUUUUUAGUUGGGGGGUAAGGAGAGCCUUCUACCAUUAGUCUCUCAGGAUUAAUAAUUGUGGGGUCUGAAUUUUUGUUGCUACCAAGCUACUAUUUUCACACUUCUCUACUUAAGAUCAGAUAGUUGCAGUUUUGGGCUACACUAAUUCCCAUUGGUUAGUUUUAAGUUUGACACUUGACCUUAUGAUAAGUCUUAGCAACUCAAACUUGGGAAAGUUACUUCAAAGCUAUUGAUUGAUGACCUUAAUUGACACAAGCAGAUACUUUUUGUGGUUUGUUUGAUGACAAUCAGUGGUUUCUUCUAAGCAACUAGCAAGAACUACAAUGAACCAUAUCUUAAUAGCUUAGGAAAAGUGUGAUAAAAAAAAAAAAGAAAAGAAAAAGAAAAAAAAGAUGGUGCUAGUACAUUGGAAAAGGCUGCCUAUCACCGGGAUCU